AGCGCGCUGAAAAACAGAACCGACGAAAAGCCUUAGCCGCGUACUAGCCUCUCGCUCACUCUUAUGGUUACCUAGCGGUUUUCGACGAUCUACCAUCCGCCUUCUUCGAAACAUCUGUUUCACACGGACGGACCCAGGCUAUCUUGUGCAUUAUACACCCUAGAUAGAACAACAUUGAAACCAAUAAAAUACUAACUUUUGUCAGGCAAGUUGUGCUCGCACCGCCGACACAAGAAACGAAAGAGCAACCCUUUUACUAGUCGUAAAAUCAUAUUCUUUGUACUGUUACUAAAGUUUUCAAAGUUUUUCCCCAAUGCAUGUAGAUGGUAUUACUGUAGAGAUGCUGGACUCUUGACAAAAUAGAAACAAAUCAAUUGAAGCAAACAAAAUUGAAAUGUUCAACGGAUAUGUUUAUUUAUAUGCGAAAAAGGGCAGACCGUCUAGUCAGUUCUCAGGAAGUGGUUUUUUUCCUCGAUGCCCACAGGUUUUACCAUGUUACCAAAAAAACGCAAGUAAAAAAGUGGAAACGGACAUUGGCUGACCUACCUCACGCACCCUCCCUUCCUGAGAUCCGGAUCCAUUGGUAUCUUCCAGAACUCCCUGCCAUGGUUGGUAGUUGGCUCAAUACAGGGGUUUUACCUGUAAGGGCGCGUGUACCAGUAAUGUAUCUGGGUUUCGGAUAGCCUAGACCAGCACCUAUGAAUGCUUAGCAACAAUGUUUUUGCGGAUGCUUAGCAACAUGUCUCUUAAGAACAUCUGGGAGAAACAAGGCAGCGCGCUGCGUUCCUAGUAGGUCCGGAAAAACUGUGGCUGUGUGUUGCUAGGAGAGACUGAUCGAGAACAAGGAGAGAAAAGAUUUUCGCGCCUCUCUGUGGGCAAACGGCGGAGUAGUGGAAUCGCGGUCCGCUGGCGUCAGCCGCUCAUAGCAAGUGAGACUCUGAGUGUAAUUUCAACUUAGAUAUUUCAAACUUAAUCCCGUGAGGAGUGAUUCAAGCCCCGUGCAACAGCAGUGGCUCAAAAACAGCAAGCGACAGCGACGCGGAAGAGCGAUCUCGGAGCACUGCGACGAGUAUUUCCAAAGAGGGUAGCACCACGACGGCGGCAGGCCUGGAUUGUGACAACCACACCCAAGAGUUGGCGCAAGCAAACCACGGCGCUUCUAAGCGCCAAUCCACCAAAGAGAAUUGCACAUGCGCAUUUCUUUGUUUAACGCCAAGCGACUUUUGGAUCAGCCGGCAGCGGCAAGGCCGUAUCGAGGUUUUCCCUCAAACUUAAAUUAAAAAUGGAAGAAAAACACCAAAAACGGCUAAAGGAGCGCGCUGAAAAACAGAACCGACGAAAAGCCUUAGCCGCGUACUAGCCUCUCGCUCACUCUUAUGGUUACCUAGCGGUUUUCGACGAUCUACCAUCCGCCUUCUUCGAAACAUCUGUUUCACACGGACGGACCCAGGCUAUCUUGUGCAUUAUACACCCUAGAUAGAACAACAUUGAAACCAAUAAAAUACUAACUUUUGUCAGGCAAGUUGUGCUCGCACCGCCGACACAAGAAACGAAAGAGCAACCCUUUUACUAGUCGUAAAAUCAUAUUCUUUGUACUGUUACUAAAGUUUUCAAAGUUUUUCCCCAAUGCAUGUAGAUGGUAUUACUGUAGAGAUGCUGGACUCUUGACAAAAUAGAAACAAAUCAAUUGAAGCAAACAAAAUUGAAAUGUUCAACGGAUAUGUUUAUUUAUAUGCGAAAAAGGGCAGACCGUCUAGUCAGUUCUCAGGAAGUGGUUUUUUUCCUCGAUGCCCACAGGUUUUACCAUGUUACCAAAAAAACGCAAGUAAAAAAGUGGAAACGGACAUUGGCUGACCUACCUCACGCACCCUCCCUUCCUGAGAUCCGGAUCCAUUGGUAUCUUCCAGAACUCCCUGCCAUGGUUGGUAGUUGGCUCAAUACAGGGGUUUUACCUGUAAGGGCGCGUGUACCAGUAAUGUAUCUGGGUUUCGGAUAGCCUAGACCAGCACCUAUGAAUGCUUAGCAACAAUGUUUUUGCGGAUGCUUAGCAACAUGUCUCUUAAGAACAUCUGGGAGAAACAAGGCAGCGCGCUGCGUUCCUAGUAGGUCCGGAAAAACUGUGGCUGUGUGUUGCUAGGAGAGACUGAUCGAGAACAAGGAGAGAAAAGAUUUUCGCGCCUCUCUGUGGGCAAACGGCGGAGUAGUGGAAUCGCGGUCCGCUGGCGUCAGCCGCUCAUAGCAAGUGAGACUCUGAGUGUAAUUUCAACUUAGAUAUUUCAAACUUAAUCCCGUGAGGAGUGAUUCAAGCCCCGUGCAACAGCAGUGGCUCAAAAACAAGCGACAGCGACGCGGAAGAGCGAUCUCGGAGCACUGCGACGAGUAUUUCCAAAGAGGGUAGCACCACGACGGCGGCAGGCCUGGAUUGUGACAACCACACCCAAGAGUUGGCGCAAGCAAACCACGGCGCUUCUAAGCGCCAAUCCACCAAAGAGAAUUGCACAUGCGCAUUUCUUUGUUUAACGCCAAGCGACUUUUGGAUCAGCCGGCAGCGGCAAGGCCGUAUCGAGGUUUUCCCUCAAACGCGGCGUUCCACAGAGCAGCACACUUUGUUUUUCCUUAAUGUGAUCAAAACUCUGAAAUCCACCAAUUAAUAUUGGUAAUUAAUAGAAAAGAACAGUCGGUCAUGUAGACGAACAAAACAAACAUAAAAAUCAAGUAACAACAAAAAUUAUGCGCGAGGCUUGUUAGCCUUGUUAGCGGCAGCCUCUUUGGAAGCGCUUUCAUCGGAGGAUGCGGCAACAACUUUACGUAAGUUAAACUUUCAUUUAAUUUAAACACCUAAACGCGAACGGCGAAAUAUUCGAAAAAACUCCCCCGCAGGGCAAACUAGAGCGCACCGUCGCAAAGAAACGCGAGAAAUAAAUGAAAAGAAGAUAAGAACGUAGUCGCCCGCUAGCAUCCCUCCCUUUCCCCCUUACCGCCACUUGGGCGCACAAGCAGCGGCGUCAGAGCUCGGUAGUAGUCGCGCAUGCGCGCCUGGUAUCACAUCCCGGCCGUUGGCGAGGGAUUUUUAUGUUGUAGUUUUGGUUCUAUCAGAUCCACAAAUGGUUUUGUAGUUUUGAUUUAAUUUGCUUUUAUAUAUUCUGCGUGUAGUUUCUUUUGGCAGCGCUGACUGCAGUCGCUGCGCGACAAAUUUUCGAGUUUACGAUUUGCGAAUGCAAUCCAGGGCUCAAUUAAAGUUUUAAGAUAUUGUUUAAUUAAAUGUUAUAUUGUAUUUUUUUUAUUUAACGUCCUGUUUCUAUUCUAAUGAUUCUAUGUUUAAUGUAUCAUUUUUAGAGUUAGGAAAUAAAUUAUAAUGAUUUUCUAAGAGAUUUGUAGUUGAACUCGGGCCGGGGCAGCACCGGUAGGGAUGUGAAAGGGGCCGUGGGAAGAGGUCUUCCCCAGGAAGUAACGGCCACACGUAGGGGGGCAUUGACCACAACAACAUCAGUGGUCAGGUUUGAAUGUGUGUGUGCAUGCCAGAUGUCAGUUCGUAGUUUCGUUUUUCUCCGGUUGUAGUUUGUGCCGUACAGUGCAUGUCUAUGUGUAUCUGUGUGUCCAAUUUUGUCGCAGCACGCUAAUUUUAAGAUAAACCAUCCCCUCAAGCCGACGACCGCAGCCGAAACAAGAGCGUGCGUUGCAUCGAGAGUUUUCCAGCUGCCACUCUGAACGUUGUUCGUUACAUACCUCAUUUCGAUUCAGCGUUCUUGGCCUGCCUAAUCGGAGCUUCAACCAGCGCUCAAGAGCUGAGGUGAGACCUAAGUAUAAAUGGUAAUUUGAUUAUGGUAUAUAAAUAUAGAUACAGCCAUGAUCAUAUAAAUAGCACAGAAAGUACGCUUUCUCUAUUUGUUUUUAUUGUGCAGACAACAUAUUAUUUAAUGGACAAACUUGUUUCUAAAACAUUUUUCAUAAUAAAAAUAACAUUUUAUAGCAGUUGGCGCCAUGAUUCUGAAGAAAAUUCAAUUUUUAGGCCCAUAUUAGCACACAUUGAAUUUAAGAAAGUGUUCAGAUUCUUGUAAAGACUCUUAUUUAUGAAAAGUAUGUUCAAAUGUGACUUGCCACACAGCUUCGAGCCAUGUCUCCGGGUAGUUCAAGGUCACCAUCCCAGCUUAAAUCAGUUUUAAAGCUUUAAAGGUACAGUAACAUCUACUUUGGGCUCAAGAUCCUUGAAAAUUAUUUUUUGAAGUCCCACGGGAUUUCACUUGUUCCUUAUACUCAUUUGUCGUAUGGCCUGUCACGUGCCGGUGACACGUCCCACGUGAAAUCACUUUGGGGCCGUCCAUAAACCACGUGGACAAAUUUUAAGCACUUUUUAACCCCCCCUCCCCCCUCGUGGACAAUUGUGGAUUUUUAACUAAC